UUAUUUCAAUUCUUUCCCCAACAGAGAAUGGUACCUGUAUAUUGAUGAUAUUGAUAUUUUCUACGCAAAGUUGGAUAGUGAUUGUAAUUGUAAUUGUGACGGUGGAGGUGGUGGGUUGAAGGUGAUUGAUUGGAAAUUCCCGGUUUCAAGCUUCAACUUUCAACGUUUAACAAGUCUCACCUGCCGUGCUGUGUGUGUGAAACCACCCUACGAUCCGACAUACGCCAAAUCUUCCUGAUGGUAAACUGCAUUCUUGAUUGAUCGAUUGUUUGUUCGUUUGUGUACUUAUCAGUGCCAAACGCCCAAACUUAGUGCUUGAUUGAUGUAGCUUCUUCGGCUAGGAAGAACCCAUAGGCACUUUCACGUCCGUUGGGGAAUCAUUGCAUCUGUUUGAGGAAUAAAACUACUAGGCAAUGCAAAAGAUGUGGGGUGAUUUAGGUUUGGCUGAAUCCAAUCAACUUACCAUCUGGUAAAUCAUGUCUGUGACAUCUGUGGUCAACCUCUUCAGUUCUUGCUUCAGAAUGUACUAUGCGGACCAGAAGUUAUGAUGUGUGCAAAGAUUCAUUGUAAACCCUAAGUGACACAUACGGCUUACACGAUUUAUGAAACGAUACUGAUCAUGCCUCGGAUGGAUUCGAGGGCACGUUAUAGUGAACAUAUGAACGAUAAUAGUCAACAGGAUGAUAUCAAUGCCUCAGUGUGUAGAAAACAGGUUAAACGGAAAGAUUGCCAGUUAACAGUGCAUUAACGAAUGGACGUUUCGUAAACAAUUCCAAGGAUUCGAAAUUAGGGAGACAUGAAAAUUAGACGGUAACUGUUAGCCCAUGCAACCAAGCCUGUAGAACAGAUGAUUGGAAAAGCUGUGACAACCCUCACAAAACCAGGUCGUUGCACAGCUUUCGGACUUUUGGAGUGCUUGAUUUAGCGACGCACUGACUGAAACUAACGAUCUGGCGCGGUAUGGCUUGUUUUCCGCUGCAUUAGGCCCGAGGUCAUCCAGGGUUCGAGACUUGUGACUCUUUCCUGGACAAGUCACAGUCCCUGAACCAUGUUUACUUUAAGUUUGCAUUUGUAAUGUUUAGACAAAGUUAUGGUUGUUGGGUGUUAACCCGUUAAGACAAUGUUUAAUAUUUUUAUUAUCAAUGGAUGAUCUUGCAUAUUUUAAUUCAUAUAGCUUUGUUAU
rnacentral:lncRNA from 1 species